rnacentral:lncRNA from 1 species
CCAGACUACAUAGCUCUGCAACCUUGGGCUGCCCGAUAUCUGGACUUUGGAUUUGUCAAAUGGAUACAUGUGAGGAUUCUUGAUGAAUUAUAGUCAUUUUCCAUAUUGAUACUGUGUACAUAGAUAACAAAAUUAUAUUUUCAAGAGUGUAUAUACUUUCCAUAUUAAACAACAUAUGAAACAACAGGUAUUCAACAAGUGAAUUUUUUUUUUUUCUGAAGCAAACCAUCACAAAUAGGACAUUUUAUUUGUCACUAUUAAAGUCUAAAUUUUAAACAGAUUCUUGGACGGGUGGCUCAUAGCCAUCAGCUCGUUCGACUUUUGCACCCAUCUUAUCCCUAGUGGCUUUUCCAGAACUACUACCUUCUCCGUGAAGCUCCAUGAGUUUUCCCAAUUCAAACUUGGGCUUCUUCAGCAUCAUCACUUUUCUAACGAAGACAUCAUGGAGAGGAUAAAUAGAUUGGCAAGCCUUCUCUAUGUCUUUCCCAAUGCUGUCUGGGAUCAAUUUAUUGACUACUUCUUUCAAGUCAUUUGUUUGCACCUCCCAUGUCAUCUUUCCAUCAUCUUCUUCCGGAUCUGGUGGACCUGCUGGUGCUAAGCAUAGGAAGUCUUCCAUAUCUGAUUGUUGCAUUUUUUGGUAAAACCAACACAGAACAGACGAAGCAAAUAGCCAUCGGUAGUCUUGACAUCAACAUGAGCUUCAAUCAUGGUUGGUUCCUUGGGUCCUCGUGACCAGUGUUUUCCCAAUAUUUCGUAUGUUGAACAUAGCAGGUGCCUUCACAUCAUACCAAUCUUUCUUAGAAAAUGGGUCUACCACUUUCUUCUUGGCUCCCUUUUUGCUGCCUUUCGUAAGGCGCUUGUUCUUGCCGACCGCCAUGGUGGUGCUCAGAGAGUCAAAAAGGCAACAAGUGAAUUUUUUAAGGAGAAUAUUUUUUCAAGAACAAUUUAGAAGCAACAAAAACAACCAAUCAUAAUCCAGUUGGUAUAAUAAUAACUUUAACAAAAACUUGAUAAAGAACUGUCUGAAAUUAUAAAAUGAGUAUUUAGGAGGCUACUUUAAUAAAUUAUUUCUAAUUAAAUUUUAAUGAGCA